GUGAGACUGAGAUGCGCAAUCACGAGACUACUAUAUUUUGUUUUCUUUCAGCUUUUGAAUGAAUACAAUGUUGCCUGGUUGGAAUAUUAUCGCUAUUUUACGAGAAAAAAUAGCAUAAAAAUUGAUUUUAAACAGCGUUUGACAUGCUUCUAAGUACGGUAAUGGAAUAUUUUGAAAUGUUUUGUCACGAAAUGCGCUCGCGCGUCAGCCUUCAGAUAGUAACCUGAACGCACGAACAAAACGGAGCUAUUUGAAUAUAACUAUGGAUUAUUUGGAACCAAAACAACAUUUGUUGUUGAAGUAGAAGUCCUGGGAGUGCAUUCUGACGAAGAACAGCAAAGGUGUCUCUAAUGUUCCUGAGCGGUGUCUGACUGCAAAAGAGGUGAUCUUCAUUCAGUCAGGCAGAAGCACCUUCUUGUGGAUAUGUGAACAAGGAGGAGGUUAUUGGAGAGACUGAGCAUAGGAGGUUUACCGGAAUAAAGGAACUGAAGAUUUCAAUACGGAGUGAGCCCCAAAGACCCAGAGUGAAGGACCUUCCACUGGUGACGAC
rnacentral:lncRNA from 1 species